GGAGUGGUAGCUCAAUUGGUUAGAGCAUCGCACUGUCACUGCGAAGGUUGCGGGUUCGACCCCCGUCCAUUCCGCCA
rnacentral:tRNA from 1 species